CGCCCUUAGCACCGCCCGCCCCGGCGCUGCGGCCGCGCCUUCGCGCGGUUCCCGGCUGUAAUUGGCCCGCGGCCCUGCCGCUCGCGCUUCGGUGCCCCCUGGCGGCGGCGGCGGUGGCCGCGCUCGGGCCUCGCCGGGGAGGGCUCGGCCGCGCUCGGGGCGCCGCCGUGCAAGGGCUGUGAGCCGCAGCUGGCCGGCCGCGUGUGCAGGCCGCGCGGGUCCUUACAGGCCGUCCGUGCGGCCUGCGAGGCUGCGGCUCCUCAGCCGAGGGCAGAGUGCGGCCACGGGGGUGACACGGCACCACUGCCACCUGUCUCAGGCCAGCCCGGCCCCUCUCGGGGCUGAGCUCCCGUGGCGCACGGGGUGUUCACGGCUUCCCAGCCGUGCCUGGGCCGGGGGUGGGGAGGCGGCUUCAUCGCCUGUCGGCGCGAGCAGAGCCCGGCAGCCUGCGGAAGGGUUGUGUGAGGCUUUUCCUUUGUGGGAUCCCGGCUGUGGGUGGAAGUUCUGCAGGGGGGUGCUGCAGGCGCAGCUGGCAGAGCCCAGCAGGAAGGGUGUAGCAUUGGCAGAGGGGCAAAAUGUGGUUACAGGUGUCUGAAAAAGAAGAGAGGACAGGUGAGAGAAAGAUUUUACUUCUCCUGAACAGCUGGACUGUGUUUUAUUAUAACCUGAUCUGAGCCUGUGGCUCUGAUCCUGUCACUCUGAUCAGAGGUUUUUGUAGAAUUAGAUUGGAUAUCGGGAUGGAAUGCUGGAAUGCUGGUCUGUGAGGGUGGUUGAAGCCCUGGCACAGGUUGCCCAGAGAAGCUGUGGCUGCCCCAUUCCUGGAAGUUAUCCAGGCCACACUGCAUGGGGCUUGGAGCAACCUGGUCUAGUAAAAGGAAGGGAAUGGAAGUUUCUUUUCAAGAGACUGUUCCCUGGGCAAGACCUGAUGAGCUUAACAUCUCAAGGGACUGGGAGCUGCCAGAGGAUGCGCAAGGGAUCAGCGACUAUUAAUGAACAUCAACGCCUGAACAUCAUUCCUUGUGUGUUGGAGACACUCGGGAAAAGAUCAUAAGAGAAGAAAGAGGACCUGAUUAGCAUCUAAGGUGAAGGGAUCGAUAACCAAUAGGAAACCAAAUUCUAAGAAUUGUCUAACUUGGGACCAAUAAACAUUGAACCAAUUAA